rnacentral:rRNA from 1 species
GAUGAACGCUGGCGGCGUGCUUAACACAUGCGAGUCGAACGGAAAGGCUCCUGCUUGCAGGGGUACUCGAGUGGCGAACGGGUGAGUAACACGUGGGUGAUCUGCCCUGCACUUCGGGAUAAGCCUGGGAAACUGGGUCUAAUACCGGAUAGGACGAUGGUUUGGAUGCCAUUGUGGAAAGUUUUUCGGUGUGGGAUGAGCUCGCGGCCUAUCAGCUUGUUGGUGGGGUAAUGGCCUACCAAGGCGUCGACGGGUAGCCGGCCUGAGAGGGUGUACGGCCACAGUGUGACUGAGAUACGGCCCAGACGCCUACGGGAGGCAGCAGUGGGGAAUAUUGCACAAUGGGCGCAAUCCUGAUGCAGCGACGCCGCGUGGGGGAUGACGGCCUUCGGGUUGUAAACUCCUUUCGCUAGGGACGAAGCGCAAGUGACGGUACCUGGAGAAGAAGCACCGGCUAACUACGG